UACGUAGGGGGCAAGCGUUGUCCGGAUUUAUUGGGCGUAAAGAGCGUGUAGGCGGCCAGGUAGGUCCGUUGUGAAAACUGGAGGCUUAACCUCCAGCUGUCGAUGGAAACCAUCUGGCUAGAGUCCGGAAGAGGAGAGUGGAAUUCCUGGUGUAGCGGUGGAAUGCGCAGAUAUCAGGAGGAACACCAAUUGCGAAGGCAGCUCGCUGGGACGGUACUGACGCUGAGGCGCGAAAGCGUGGGGAGCGAACAGG
rnacentral:rRNA from 1 species